rnacentral:rRNA from 1 species
GUGCCAGCCGCCGCGGUAAUACGGAGGGUGCGAGCGUUGUCCGGAAUCACUGGGCGUAAAGGGCGCGUAGGCGGCUACUUAAGCGUGUGGUGAAAGUCCGGGGCUCAACCCCGGAUCGGCCGUGCGAACUGAGUGGCUCGAGCACUGUAGAGGCAGGUGGAAUUCCGGGUGUAGCGGUGGAAUGCGUAGAGAUCCGGAAGAACACCGGUGGCGAAGGCGGCCUGCUGGGCAGUGGCUGACGCUGAGGCGCGACAGCGUGGGGAGCAAACAGGAUUAGAUACCCCCGUAGUCC